UCGGUCCCGGUUCACGUCCACAGGGGCGACCCGGGCC
rfam:Mycobacterium brisbanense DNA, contig: contig4, strain: JCM15654.